AGUGCAAUUUAUGCCAACAUAAAAUGAAGCUGACUCAUAAACCCAACAAAGCAGACAACUAUGUUUGGUCCUGUACACGAAACAGACAUAAGGGAAGGUUCAAGUCAGUGAGGUAUGGAUCACUUUUUGCCAAGUCAAAGUGUAAUUUAUUCUCCUGGAUGAAGUUCAUAUAUCGGUUUGCUCAAGGCCUUCAGUUGAGACAAAUCGACAUGAUUGAAGAUGGCAUUGCUGGAAG